rnacentral:rRNA from 1 species
GAUGAACGCUGGCGGCGUGCCUAAUACAUGCAAGUCGAGCGAACAGACGAGGAGCUUGCUCCUUUGACGUUAGCGGCGGACGGGUGAGUAACACGUGGGUAACCUACCUAUAAGACUGGGAUAACUUCGGGAAACCGGAGCUAAUACCGGAUAAUAUUUCGAACCGCAUGGUUCGAUAGUGAAAGAUGGCUUUGCUAUCACUUAUAGAUGGACCUGCGCCGGAUUAGCUAGUUGGUAAGGUAACGGCUUACCAAGGCAACGAUACGUAGCCGACCUGAGAGGGUGAUCGGUCACACUGGAACUGAGACACGGUCCAGACUCCUACGGGAGGCAGCAGUAGGGAAUCUUCCGCAAUGGGCGAAAGCCUGACGGAGCAACGCCGCGUGAGUGAUGAAGGUCUUCGGAUCGUAAAACUCUGUUAGUAGGGAAGAACAAACGUGUAAGUAACUGUGCACGUCUUGACGGUACCUAAUCAGAAAGCCACGGCUAACUACGUG